rnacentral:rRNA from 1 species
UACAGAGGUCUCAAGCGUUGUUCGGAUUCAUUGGGCGUAAAGGGUGCGUAGGCGGCGCGGUAAGUCGGGUGUGAAAUCUUGGAGCUUAACUCCGAAACUGCAUUCGAUACUGCCGUGCUUGAGGACUGGAGAGGAGACUGGAAUUUACGGUGUAGCGGUGAAAUGCGUAGAUAUCGUAAGGAAGACCAGUGGCGAUGGCGGGUCUCUGGACAGUUCCUGACGCUGAGAAGCGAAAGCGUGGGUAGCGAACAGG